UUAAAGACUCUGAAUAGAAGACACCAGCCAGC
rnacentral:piRNA from 1 species